GAUGAACGCUAGCUACAGGCUUAACACAUGCAAGUCGAGGGGAAACGACAUCGAAAGCUUGCUUUUGAUGGGCGUCGACCGGCGCACGGGUGAGUAACGCGUGUCCAACCUGCCCACCACUUGGGGAUAACCUUGCGAAAGUAAGACUAAUACCCAAUGAUAUCCCACGAAGGCAUCCGAAUGGGAUUAAAGAUUUAUCGGUGAUGGAUGGGGAUGCGUCUGAUUAGCUUGUUGGCGGGGUAACGGCCCACCAAGGCGACGAUCAGUAGGGGUUCUGAGAGGAAGGUCCCCCCACAUUGGAACUGAGACACGGUCCAAACUCCUACGGGAGGCAGCAGUGAGGAAUAUUGGUCAAUGGACGGGAGUCUGAACCAGCCAAGUAGCGUGCAGGACGACGGCCCUAUGGGUUGUAAACUGCUUUUAUAGGGGGAUAAAGUGUGCCACGUGUGGCAUAUUGCAGGUACCCUAUGAAUAAGGACCGGCUAAUUCCGUG
rnacentral:rRNA from 1 species